rnacentral:rRNA from 1 species
GACGAACGCUGGCGGUAUGCUUAACACAUGCAAGUCGAACGAGAAGUUUUUUAUUGAACCUUCGGGGGAUAUAAGAGACAGACAGUGGCGAACGGGUGAGUAACGCGUGGGCAACCUACCUAUCGGAGCGGGAUAGCCUCGAGAAAUCGGGAGUAAAACCGCAUAACACGGAUAUAUCGCAUGAUGAAUCCGUCAAAACUCCGGUGCCGAUAGAUGGGCCCGCGUCUGAUUAGCUAGUUGGUAAGGUAAGGACUUACCAAGGCAACGAUCAGUAGCCGGUCUGAGAGGGCGAACGGCCACACUGGAACUGAGACACGGUCCAGACUCCUACGGGAGGCAGCAGUGGGGAAUAUUGCGCAAUGGGGGCAACCCUGACGCAGCAAUACCGCGUGAGUGAAGAAGGUUUUCGGAUCGUAAAGCUCUGUUAUUGGGGAAGAAGCAGGACGGUAC